rnacentral:rRNA from 1 species
CCGGCAACAGCUCAAAUUUGAAAGCUGGCCCUUUUAGGGUCCGCGUUGUAAUUUGUAGAGGAUGAUUCGGCGAGGGCUCCUGCCUAAGUCCCCUGGAACGGGGCGUCAUAGAGGGUGAGAAUCCCGUAUGCGGUAGGUUGCCUUAGCCAUGUGAAUCUCCUUCGACGAGUCGAGUUGUUUGGGAAUGCAGCUCUAAAUGGGAGGUAAAUUUCUUCUAAAGCUAAAUACUGGCCAGAGACCGAUAGCGCACAAGUAGAGUGAUCGAAAGAUGAAAAGCACUUUGGAAAGAGAGUUAAAAAGUACGUGAAAUUGUUGAAAGGGAAGCGCUUGCAACCAGACUUGUCCGCAGUUGCUCAGCCGGUCUCCUGACCGGCGUACUCUUCUGCGGCCAGGCCAGCAUCAGUUCGGGCGGUCGGAUAAAGGCCUCGGGAAUGUAGCUCCUCUCGGGGAGUGUUAUAGCCCGGGGUGGAAUGCGACCAGCCUGGACUGAGGAUCUCGCUUCGGCAAGGAUGCUGGCGUAAUGGUUGUAA